rnacentral:rRNA from 1 species
GUGCUAGUUGACGAUAGUCGGACGGGGGUAAAUAGGAAGUUAGAGUUAUGGAGACAAACCUUGGAAUCGAAAGGGUUUAGGCUUAGUAGAACUAAAACCGAGUACAUGAUGUGCGGUUUCAGUACUACUAGGUGUGAGGAGAAGGAGGUUAGCCUUGAUGGUCGGGUGGUACCUCGGAAGGACACCUUUCGAUAUUUGGGGUCAAUGUUGCAGGAGGAUGGGGGUAUUGAUAAAGAUGUGAACCAUCGAAUCAAAGCCGGAUGGAUGAAGUGGCGCCAAGCUUCUGGCAUUCUCUGUGACAAGAGAGUGCCACAA